rnacentral:siRNA from 1 species
UGGUGAAGAUGGUGUCUUCCCAAC